CAAUAGCGUAUAUUAAAGUUGUUGCGGUUAAAAAGCUCGUAGUUGGAUUUCUGCUGAGGACGAUCGGUCCGCCCUCUGGGUGAGUAUCUGGCUCGGCCUUGGCAUCUUCUUGGAGAACGUUACUGCACUUGACUGUGUGGUGCGGUAUCCAGGACUUUUACUUUGAGGAAAUUAGAGUGUUUCAAGCAGGCGCACGCCUUGAAUACAUUAGCAUGGAAUAAUAAGAUAGGACCUUGGUUCUAUUUUGUUGGUUUCUAGAGCUGAGGUAAUGAUUAAUAGGGAUAGUUGGGGGCAUUCGUAUUUAACUGUCAGAGGUGAAAUUCUUGGAUUUGUGAAAGACGGACUACUGCGAAAGCAUUUGCCAAGGAUGUUUUCAUUGA
rnacentral:rRNA from 1 species